AUGCCCUCAUCCUCCCUCACAAGGUUCCUGCGGAAAAACGGCCACGCAUUUCCGGUGUGUUCUUGGCACGUUUCACUCCCUUGGCUCCGCCUCUUUUCGCUGAGGAGGCGAGGUGGGUCCACACCUCCGAUUUUCCGUUCUGUCCACACUGGCUCUUGGACCUCUAAGAAGCACGAGGAGCGGAAAUUAGACAGAGCAGAAGUCCGGGCAAAUUGUUGGUUUAGAAUCAAGAUUCCCUUCAUCUCGCCCUUGGAACAAGGAAAGCGUGGUAGAGACCGUUGGGUAAAAUGUGAGGAAUGGAAGCGUAGCAGUGGCUGUAGGUCUGUCACGCAAGUUCUGCUUCUGACCUCAAAGGAUUAUGGUGAGAAAAAUAUUUGGUAAACCUUAAAACGCAGAACAAAUAUCCAGUAAGACUGAGUGGACAGGAAAGAAUUCAUCAAUCUGAGCGGAAAUGCCAGGAAAUCUUCAGCAUUGUGGAAGACUUGUUCCUGGACCCUGGAAAAAGAAUAAUACACAUCCUUGACUUUGAGACUUAUAAACUAAGUAGUAAAAGUAAGAAACUUACACAGAUAACCAUAAUACAGGAUGGAUUAGGGAAAGUUCCAAGAUGCAAGAUGGCAGUGGGAGGGGUAAGACCCAGGAAAGCUGAGGCAUUGGAACCAGCCAGAUGAAGGAGAAAGCCAGGAAAGGAAAAGCAUGGAAAGCAAGAGGAAGAAUGAAGAUGAUGAGACUAAGUCAAAGUGAGUGUCAAAUAGGCAUCUGUAAGGGACAGAACGAAGCACAGAGCACAGGGGCUGGCUGAACUGGGCAUCACUGGGAUGGCAGGAGUCUAGGACUAUACAUGUUUUCCAUGCUUCUGAUAAUUAUCUCAAAUAAAAAGUAGUUUUAAUCUAAAUGUAUUUAGAAC
rnacentral:lncRNA from 1 species